UACGUAGGGGGCUAGCGUUAUCCGGAAUUACUGGGCGUAAAGGGUGCGUAGGUGGUUUCUUAAGUCAGAGGUGAAAGGCUACGGCUCAACCGUAGUAAGCCUUUGAAACUGGGGAACUUGAGUGCAGGAGAGGAGAGUGGAAUUCCUAGUGUAGCGGUGAAAUGCGUAGAUAUUAGGAGGAACACCAGUUGCGAAGGCGGCUCUCUGGACUGUAACUGACAUUGAUGCUCGAAAGUGUGGGUAUCAAACAGG
rnacentral:rRNA from 1 species